GGAUUUCCCCGUUCUUCUUGAGUGGAGCCUUGCUUCUCGGACGAGACGCACUCCCGACGACUCCCAGGUUCCAUCCGCUGUCCUGAAUCCUCCGGUGCUGCUCGGACCUCUCGCCCCGCUCUCAGCCGCCCGGACACCUACGACCAACAUUCAGCUGAGUCCACACUGCCGUCCUCCCCGGUCGGGUUUCUUGCACCUCGUGAUCGACCUGGUCCCCGCCGCCCGAGUUCCUGCCCGAGUAUCUUCCAGCCCGCAGAUUAGCUUCGCCGCCUAGCAUUCUCGCCUGUGUAAACAAUAAACCUUUUAAACUUA